rnacentral:lncRNA from 1 species
AAUCGUUGAUGAAAUAGUCCACAUUUGGGCAUCUCCAGUUCUUGAAGCAUCAAAGAACAGAUUUCGUCAUUUUGCUUACAGAUCAAAUCCUCAAUCAGCUGCAUACAGGUAAAAUCACUACGAGUUUAUUUUCGGCUUUUGCAUAUGUCAAAUUCGGAUUUCGAAGAGAAAUUUAUUUCAUUUUUAUGCAUAAAUUUCCUCGGAUUCUUACAUGUAAAAGAUCUAGGGUUUUAAAUUCUAAUACGUACUGACUUAACUAAAAUAAUUCACUUUGAAUCUGAAUUUGUGAACAACGAAAUAUUAUCUCAAGGUUUAAUAUGAUUCUCUUGGGAUUUUAAUUUAGUUACUUCACUUGAAUCGAAUUUCCAGCAAAAUUUUAGAAUUUUUUUUUUGUAUUUUUCAUAUAGAGAUUUAACGACUAAAUCUAACAUAUACACUUUUGCAGCAUAAAUAGAUGGGGUUUAUAAUGGAGUUUGCGGAAAAUUUGAUACUUCGGCUGAUGGAGGAUCCUAAGGAGAGGGACAAGAAGUUUAGGGAGCAUUUGUACAAUUUGAAGGACAGAUGCCAGAAGACCAAGGAAAUGUGGAGCCUGCCUCUGCGUCCUUACGGCUUCUGGAAUUUUGAUCGCCAUAAUGCACAAAUUUUUUGGGAUUCUCAGAUUAGUCAAGUUCCAGGUCGCCGUGACCCCUAUGAUGACCUCCUCCAGGACCCUUACAUUGAUACUACUGCUUCCUCUUCCUCCUCAAAGUAAUUGGUGAGUUUCUUCCUAUUUCAUGACGUGGCCCAAUUGUGGGGUUGUGCAUAUGUGUUCUGUGAAUUUGUAGUUUUUAGGAGUUAGGACUAUUUGUCAUCAUUU